UACGGAGGAUGCGAGCGUUAUCCGGAUUUAUUGGGUUUAAAGGGUGCGUAGGCGGCCGAGUAAGUCAGCGGUGAAAUUUUGCAGCUUAACUGUAACAGUGCCGUUGAUACUGCAUGGCUAGGAUUUGGUUGCUGUGGGUGGAAUGUGUGGUGUAGCGGUGAAAUGCUUAGAUAUCACACAGGAUAUCAAUUGCGAAGGCAGCUCACAAAGCCAAGAUUGACGCUGAGGCACGAAAGUGUGGGGAUCAAA
rnacentral:rRNA from 1 species